GUUAAGCGACUAAGCGUACACGGUGGAUGCCCUGGCAGUCAGAGGCGAUGAAGGACGUGCUAAUCUGCGAUAAGCGUCGGUAAGGUGAUAUGAACCGUUAUAACCGGCGAUUUCCGAAUGGGGAAACCCAGUGUGUUUCGACACACUAUCAUUAACUGAAUCCAUAGGUUAAUGAGGCGAACCGGGGGAACUGAAACAUCUAAGUACCCCGAGGAAAAGAAAUCAACCGAGAUUCCCCCAGUAGCGGCGAGCGAACGGGGAGCAGCCCAGAGCCUGAAUCAGUGUGUGUGUUAGUGGAAGCGUCUGGAAAGGCGCGCGAUACAGGGUGACAGCCCCGUACACAAAAAUGCACAUGCUGUGAGCUCGAUGAGUAGGGCGGGACACGUGGUAUCCUGUCUGAAUAUGGGGGGACCAUCCUCCAAGGCUAAAUACUCCUGACUGACCGAUAGUGAACCAGUACCGUGAGGGAAAGGCGAAAAGAACCCCGGCGAGGGGAGUGAAAAAGAACCUGAAACCGUGUACGUACAAGCAGUGGGAGCACGCUUAGGCGUGUGACUGCGUACCUUUUGUAUAAUGGGUCAGCGACUUAUAUUCUGUAGCAAGGUUAACCGAAUAGGGGAGCCGAAGGGAAACCGAGUCUUAACUGGGCGUUAAGUUGCAGGGUAUAGACCCGAAACCCGGUGAUCUAGCCAUGGGCAGGUUGAAGGUUGGGUAAC
rnacentral:rRNA from 1 species